AGAUACCUCAUUUCGACUAGUCUCUUGCAAAAAUCUCAUCUCAUGGAAGAAAAUGAUUCGCAGUUGCGGAUGAGAAAGGGGGGAAAUGACGGAAAAUUAUGAGUGCAGCAUUAGUCACAGCAUCCCUUCAAGACCGAUUUCAACGAUCGAUUCUAUUCUCGAUGGCUUGUGGUGUCACGUACUUCAAAGAUAAGGGCUAAAGUGAAGGACACCGAAUUCUUCAUAUUCAGACUUUAUAGAACUCGGUCUAUUUUUACGGUUAUUUUUCACAUUUUCUGAAUGGAAAUUUAACUUGAAAGUAGGGAUCUCCGAGGGCUAUUUAGUUUGAAAGAAUCUCCUUGAAGCUGAGAAUUCGUU